AAUGGGGGAAACCCUGACGCAGCGACGCCGCGUGAAGGAUGAAGGCUUUCGGGUUGUAAACUUCGGUAGACUGGGAAGAAGAACUACGUUCGUUGAGGGCGUAGAGUGACGGUACCAGUCUGAAGCCCCGGCUAAUUACGUGCCAGCAGCCGCGGUAAUACGUAGGGUGCNAGCGUUAAUCGGAAUUACUGGGCGUAAAGCGUGCGCAGGCGGUUUGGUAAGACAGGCGUGAAAUCCCCGGGCUUAACCUGGGAACUGCGCUUGUGACUGCCAGGCUAGAGUACGGCAGAGGGGGGUGGAAUUCCACGUGUAGCAGUGAAAUGCGUAGAGAUGUGGAGGAACACCAAUGGCGAAGGCAGCCCCCUGGGUCGAUACUGACGCUCAUGCACGAAAGCGUGGGUAGCAAA
rnacentral:rRNA from 1 species